rnacentral:pre_miRNA from 1 species
CAGCGCCCCUUCCUCCUCCUACUCAGCUGCAAUGUGGCAGCCGAGUGAGGGCCUCGAGGUGACGC